UACGUAGGUGGCAAGCGUUGUCCGGCUUUACUGGGCGUAAAGGGCGUGCAGGCGGUCCGCAAAGUCUGAUGUGAAAGCCCCGGGCUCAACCUGGGAACUGCAUUGGAAACUAACGGGCUCGAGUGUGGCAGAGGGGGGUGGAAUUCCACGUGUAGCAGUGAAAUGCGUAGAGAUGUGGAGGAACACCGAUGGCGAAGGCAGCCCCCUGGGCUAACACUGACGCUCAGGCACGAAAGCGUGGGGAGCAAACAGG
rnacentral:rRNA from 1 species